rnacentral:ncRNA from 1 species
CGAAGCGCCUGGACUCGCCUCGGCGAGUUGACGAGGUUGGGGUUUUAUCGAGCUAUCGGCGGGUGCCCCACGGUUGGUCACGACCGAGAGAGGCCUCACAAAGCCCGGGAGCGAUCCCGGGGACAAAAGG